GAGUCUGGGUAGCUCAGUCGGUAGAGCAUCAGACUAUUAAUCUGAGGGUCCACGGUCAGGUGUUAGUGCUUUGUUCA